rnacentral:siRNA from 1 species
GAAUCUUCAAGAUUGAUGUUUGA